GAUGAACGCUGGCGGCGUGCCUAAUACAUGCAAGUCGAACGGGGAGUAGCAAUACUCUUAGUGGCGAACGGGUGAGUAACGCGUUGGUACCUGCCCCGAAGCGGGGGAUAACGGACCGAAAGGUCCGCUAAUACCCCAUGUGCUCGGUAACGAGUAAAGGUGAAAACCACUUUGGGAGGGGCCUGCGUCCCAUCAGCUAGUUGGUAAGGUAACGGCUUACCAAGGCGAUGACGGGUAGGGGACCUGAGAGGGUGGCCCCCCACAAUGGAACUGAAACACGGUCCAUACACCUACGGGUGGCAGCAGUAGGGAAUAUUGGUAAUGGGCGCAAGCCGGAACCAGCAACGCCGCGUGUGCGAUGACGGCCUUCGGGUUGUAAAGCACUUUUGACUGGGACGAGGAAGGACGGUACCGGUCGAAUCAGCCUCGGCUAACUACGUG
rnacentral:rRNA from 1 species